CCCCAGUACGUAGUGGUGAAGGAAAUGGGGUACCUCGUGCUAGGGAUUCUGUGAUUAUCUUCUGCUAGGGAUUGUUUAUUAGAUGCAAAUCUCUCACCGUAUUCACUGAAUUCCCUUCCUUCAUGGCAACGCAAAAUUGACUUUACUUCCAUUUGACUGCACUGCAUCCAUGAUAUCAUCUCUUCUGUUUGUUACUGUCGCCUGGAGUAGAGUAGAUGCAGCAUAUUAUCCAGCGGCAGGACCAGGGCAGGUAGUGAUGAAUCUAUGUACCCUUUCCUUUGUAUAAGCAACACCUCACCUGUUUGUAUAAGCAGGACCAGGACCAGGGCAGGUCUGUCUACCACUAUGCUGCUGGCUGCUAAGGUUUGGCUUCUACCAAGCAGGCCGGUGAUUUUCUUUCUUUCUUUCUAAUAAAACCCUGAACCAGAGCUCAAGAAAAUAUGCCCCAUGGUCACAGCCAUGAAGCGACAGUCUGUAUGCUCUUAACUGUACGCUGUUUGCAGUCACCAUCUUCUCUUCUGCGAUACACUCCUCAACCACUCGGUCCUGGAUACUUAUUCACCUUGUGUUUUGUUUUCAAACUCAAGCACUUGGCAGCAGCUAAAGUUCAGAUAUAUUGCGGCUAUCACCGGUUCAUGCAUUUUUGGUGGACAAUCUUCAGUUGAACCUGAGUGUUGACUCGCUCUUCCGUUGCCAACGAUGUCCGGCUUGCUCAAUUCAAAUCUUAACACUUCCACAUCGAACCUUCCAGACUCAUCCGGACGGCCAUUCACAACAUCCUUUUCUGGCCAAUCUGGAUCAGUUCAAGGUUUCCAUCACUCUGGUCUGCACAACAUUCAUGGAAAUUACAGUCUUCCAAAUAUGCCCGGAUCACUUGCACAAAGGAAUGCUGCGAUGAGUGGCCUUCCAUCCUCCGGUGUUCAACAGCCUGGAGGGAGCAUUUCUGGGAGAUUUGCUUCAAACAACCUCCCUGUUGCCAUGUCUCAGAUUCCUCAUGCACAUUCAGGUGUCAGUGGUAGAGGAAUGAAUGUUGGUGGAGGUCAAGCAUUCAGCAGUGGAAUGAACAUGGGUGGGACCAUUCAAGGUUUGUCCUCAAACUUGGGCACCAGUGGUAAUCGAAAUUCUGUUCCUGGCAAUCCAGCUUUAGGAAACCUGGGUCCACGUAUUACAAGCUCCGCGGGAAACAUUGUGGGUGGAAGUAACAUUGGAAGAAAUAUAAGCUCUGGUGGAUUGUCGGUGCCGAGUAUCUCAUCACGCAUCGAUUUUAGUGGCAAUGCUGCAAGUGGAAGACUAAAUGUGCAAGGAUCCAACAGGAUGAUGAAUGGCCUUAUUCCGCAAGGAUCGUCGCAACUGAUGAAUAUGAUUGGAAGUUCAUACCCAACGUCUGGUGCUUCAUUGUCCCAGAACCAAAUGCAACCAGGAAAUAGUUCUCUGGGUUCUAUGGGGAUGCUACAUGACGCCAGUGACAGCGCUCCAUUCGACAUCAAUGAUUUCCCCCAAUUGACUGGUCGACCUAAUUCAGCUGGUGGUCCACAGGGACAAUAUGGACCACUACGGAAGCAAGGAGUUGGUGUUAACUCCAUUGUUCAACAAAACCAGGAGUUCAGUAUUCAGAACGAAGAUUUCCCCGCUUUGCCAGGAUUUAAAGGUGGCAGUUCAGAUUAUCCUAUGGAGUUACAUCACAAGGAACAACUUCACGAGAAUGUACCUGUAAUGCAAGCACAGCAAUAUCCUGUGUCAAGGUCAGUUGGGUUUAAUUUGGGAAGUAGCUAUCAACCAAAUCGUCAGCAACAUCAGCAGGGUGCUGCUAAUUCAAUUCAGAGCGGUGGGCCCCAAAAUAUUGGACUAAGACCACUAAACUCUCAGAGUCAAACCUCUAGUCUGGGAUCAUACGAGCAACUGCUCCAGCAAUACCAGCAGCCGCAGACUCAGAGUCCUUUCAGGUUGCAGCAGAUGUCUUCUUCAGCUGCACAGACAUAUGCGGAUCAUGGUCUAAAGCCCAUUCUGGGAGGCCGAACCCCACCUGAUCCAUACGGCUUGUUAGGAUUGCUGGGAGUUAUAAGGAUGAAUGAUCCUGAUUUGUCAUCUCUUGCUUUGGGAAUAGAUUUGACAACCUUGGGUUUGAAUUUGAAUUCACCAGACAAUCUGUACAAGACAUUUGGCUCUCCAUUUUCAAAUGAACCAGCAAAAGGAGAACCCGAAUAUACUACUCCAGCUUGUUAUGUGGCUGAGCAACCCCCAGCACUACAGCCUAUGCAUUUUCAGAAGUUUCAGACACUCAUACUGUUAUACAUAUUCUACAGCAUGCCGAAGGAUGAAGCUCAAAUAUGUGCUGCCAAUGAACUAUAUAAUCGUGGAUGGUAUUACCAUAAAGAAGCACGGCAAUGGUUCACAAGAAUUACUAACAUGGAGCCUCUUGUCAAAACUCCUACAUAUGAACGGGGGUCUUAUGCCUUCUUUGAUCAAGGCAAUUGGGAGACAGUCCGUAAGGAUAACUUUGUUCUCCAUUAUGAGCUAGUAGAGAAAAGGCCAAGUCUCCCUUCCGUAUCCCAAAUUGUUAGGUGAAAAUUUUCUGGGUACCUCCUGACUCUAGCUUUCUUGUACAUGAAUAGGGAGCUUUCUUUACAAACAUAGUGAAGCGACAUUGCCCUAAUUUGUCAAGCAGGCCAGGCUAUAUAUAUAGUGAAUGAAUGAGGAAGUAUCUUGUGUCAGUCAUGUCGAUAUGCGGAGAGGAGGAGGAGGAGGAGGCUAGAGCAGGAAGUGAAAAAAGGUGGUGUUUGUAAUUAUAGUUGUUGGGAGGAGGAAAAUUGAAGGAAGGAUGGAUGGAUGGUAGCGUUGGCCGUUAAACUUUACAUUUACAUUUACAUUUACAUUUACAUAGCUGCUGCUUCUUCUUUUACAUGUAUGUGUGUCUCCUACAGUGCUCCUUUACAAAAACAGUUUAGGAGUAGUCGGCCGUGUGCAUUGGCAUUGGCAUUGGCAUUGGCAUUGCAUGGAUGGUUUAUAUUUAAACUCAAAUCAACCAAACCAAACAAAAGAAAACAAUUGGAGA